rnacentral:rRNA from 1 species
UGAAUAUGGGGGGACCAUCCUCCAAGGCUAAAUACUCCUGACUGACCGAUAGUGAACCAGUACCGUGAGGGAAAGGCGAAAAGAACCCCUGUGAGGGGAGUGAAAUAGAACCUGAAACCGUGUACGUACAAGCAGUAGGAGCACCUUCGUGGUGUGACUGCGUACCUUUUGUAUAAUGGGUCAGCGACUUAUAUUCAGUGGCAAGGUUAACCGUAUAGGGGAGCCGUAGCGAAAGCGAGUCUUAACUGGGCGCUCAGUCUCUGGAUAUAGACCCGAAACCGGGUGAUCUAGCCAUGGGCAGGUUGAAGGUUGAGUAACAUCAACUGGAGGACCGAACCGACUAAUGUUGAAAAAUUAGCGGAUGACUUGUGGCUAGGGGUGAAAGGCCAAUCAAACUCGGAGAUAGCUGGUUCUCCCCGAAAGCUAUUUAGGUAGCGCCUCGGACGAAUACUACUGGGGGUAGAGCACUGUUAAGGCUAGGGGGUCAUCCCGACUUACCAACCCUUUGCAAACUCCGAAUACCAGUAAGUACUAUCCGGGAGACACACGGCGGGUGCUAACGUCCGUCGUGGAGAGGGAAACAACCCAGACCGCCAGCUAAGGUCCCAAAGUAUUGCUAAGUGGGAAACGAUGUGGGAAGGCUCAGACAGCUAGGAUGUUGGCUUAGAAGCAGCCAUCAUUUAAAGAAAGCGUAAUAGCUCACUAGUCGAGUCGGCCUGCGCGGAAGAUGUAACGGGGCUAAGCAAUACACCGAAGCUGCGGCAAUGUCU